CCUACGGGUGGCUGCAGUGAGGAAUAUUGGUCAAUGGACGAGAGUCUGAACCAGCCAAGUAGCGUGAAGGAUGACUGCCCUAUGGGUUGUAAACUUCUUUUAUAUGGGAAUAAAAUGUUCCACGUGUGGGAUUUUGUAUGUACCAUAUGAAUAAGGAUCGGCUAACUCCGUGCCAGCAGCCGCGGUAAUACGGAGGAUCCGAGCGUUAUCCGGAUUUAUUGGGUUUAAAGGGAGCGUAGGUGGAUUGUUAAGUCAGUUGUGAAAGUUUGCGGCUCAACCGUAAAAUUGCAGUUGAAACUGGCAGUCUUGAGUACAGUAGAGGUGGGCGGAAUUCGUGGUGUAGCGGUGAAAUGCUUAGAUAUCACGAAGAACUCCGAUUGCGAAGGCAGUUCACUGGACUGCAACUGACACUGAGGCUCGAAAGUGUGGGUAUCAAACAGGAGUAGAGACCACUGUAGUC
rnacentral:rRNA from 1 species